rnacentral:misc_RNA from 1 species
GAUGAAGAACGUAGCGAAAUGCGAUAAGUAAUGUGAAUUGCAGAAUUCAGUGAAUCAUCGAGUUUUUGAACGCAUAUUGCGCCCUCUGGUAUUCCGGGGGGCAUGCCUGUUCGAGCGUCAUUAAAUAACCCUCAAGCAUAGCUUGGUGUUGGGUGCUUGUCCGCCGCCCGCGGCGGACUCACCUCAAAUGCAUUGGCGGCCGGUAUGUUGGCUACAGCGCAGUACAACGCGUCUGGCGUCUUGAUAUACUGGUCCUCCAGAAGCCCCUUUUUUGACUUGACCUCGGAUCAGGUAGGGAUACCCGCUGAACUUAAGCAUAUCAAUAAGCGGAGGA